AUGAACGCUGGCGGCGUGCCUAAUACAUGCAAGUCGCGCGAACAGACGAGGAGCUUGCUCCUCUGACGUUAGCGGCGGACGGGUGAGUAACACGUGGAUAACCUACCUAUAAGCCUGGGAUAACUUCGGGAAACCGGAGCUAAUACCGGAUAAUAUAUUGAACCGCAUGGUUUAAUAGUGAAAGACGGUUUUGCUGUCACUUAUAGAUGGAUCCGCGCCGCAUUAGCUAGUUGGUAAGGUAAUGGCUUACCAAGGCAACGAUGCGUAGCCGACCUGAGAGGGUGAUCGGCCACACUGGAACUGAGACACGGUCCAGACUCCUACGGGAGGCAGCAGUAGGGAAUCUUCCGCAAUGGGCGAAAGCCUGACGGAGCAACGCCGCGUGAGUGAUGAAGGUCUUCGGAUCGUAAAACUCUGUUAUUAGGGAAGAACAAAUGUGUAAGUAACUAUGCACGUCUUGACGGUACCUAAUCAGAAAGCCACGGCUAACUACGUG
rnacentral:rRNA from 1 species